CGACCCUCCCACCCCACGCGUGUCUGCACCCCCUAAAGCUGUGACCGAGGGGGCUUAAAGGAGAAGGAGGCCAUUACCCACUGCAGCCCCGUUAGUGCUGCCCAAAGUGGGAGCAGACCCCAAGCAGCGCCCACAAAAUUCCCCCUCCCCAGUGGUUUUUUAUCGCUCUCCCCCGUUUUUCCCGUGUGGGGAACCGGGAGAAGCUGGAAGCACAGUGGGGUGACCCACUGAGGACUGGGAAUGCCGUCGGUCUGGAUGGGGCGGGAUGUCCCAGAGUGGUGGGAAAUGUUGGGGGAAAGGGGUGCUUUACUUCAUGUUGGGUUGGUUUUGAACUUGGGGAAAUUUGGGGGAAUUUGGGGUGGGUUUGGGCCUUGGGAUGCCAUUGGGGCCUUGUGAGUGGCUCGCAAUGGCAAGACCCCAAAACCUGCUUGUGGAAAGGGGUCAGGGUGAAACCCCUUCCCCAAGGAGGGUCCGGGAAGGGGGGGAGAUGAGUUGAGGUGCUGUUUUCUCUGUAAAUCAUGGAAGCAGCCUCUCAGACGAGGCUUGGAACAGCCUGGUCUGGUGUAAGGUGUCCCUGCCCACGGCAGGAGGGUCAGGACUGGAUGGGCCUUUAGGUCUUUUCCAACCCAACCCAUUCUGGAGCUGUAGGAUUCCAUGAAAACCACCUCACGGCGGGAGAAGGGCUGGAUGGAGCACGGAGGGGGGAAUUACGGCCGGAGAGAGAACUCUUGGGACUGCUUUAGGUUUCACCAGCAGAUUCCCCCGGCUGAACCCCUCGGCUGGGCUGAAUUUAGCAGCAGAAGAGAUAACCAGCAGAUAAGGACUGAUACCCUGGGAGGACAGCGGGAGACAAUGGGCGGACAAGGGGAGAGAAGCCGGAGGCAGCGUUGGGAAGGGCUGCCUAUCCAGAUGUGCCGGGUUCGGGACAUUCAUCUUCCCUUCCUUUGCAAAAUCACCGAUGGUUUUCUCUCCCAAAACAGCUUUUCACUAAAGUUUCGUUGUAUUCUUGCAGAAAAGCGGCUUUUUCCUUGGUAAAAUAAAAAAUAGAAAAAGAAAAAAAAAAAAGAGAAAAAAAAAAAAAGGAAAAACAAACCCCGAAACAACCAAACAAAACCAAUUUAUAUUUAUUAAACCCUCCCAAGCAGCAACACCAGGAGCAGAGAAGAUUUCAAGGACCUGUUUUGGCUUUGCUACUUCCAGGAAAAAUGGUACAAAAGCGAUUGCCGUGGAUUGUUUGGCGUGAAGAGUGGCCGGAUCCAGCCCUUUCUGCAGGGAAUUAUCGGCCGGUGGGGCCGGGAAUGGCAGGGACGUGCAUCCCGAAAAUCGGGAGCUGAGGAGCCGCACCGAGCCCAGCCCGGCGAGACCCAAGAGCCGGCAGGGAGAGGAUGGAUUUAGGACACAAUUUCUCCCGGAAAAAGCAGACGGGACACAGCAAAACGCAGCGGCAGAAAAAAAAACCCAAACCAAACCCAAAACUCUGUUCUGCACGCGGUGGAGACUUUUUUUUUUUCUUGCGAUUAACGAAAUCUGUGUGAAAAUAACCCAGGGGAACAAACUUUGGCCUUGCCUCUCUCCUUUCCAGCCUUCAGUUCUGCCCCAGGCAGGAAAAAAAUCGAUACGAAAAUAUGCUUAUU